GUUGACCUCGGAUCAGGUAGGAAUACCCGCUGAACUUAAGCAUAUCAAUAAGCGGAGGAAAAGAAACCAACAGGGAUUGCCUCAGUAACGGCGAGUGAAGCGGCAACAGCUCAAAUUUGAAAUCUGGCCCUAGGCCCGAGUUGUAAUUUGCAGAGGAUGCUUUUGGCAAGGUGCCUUCCGAGUUCCCUGGAACGGGACGCCAUAGAGGGUGAGAGCCCCGUCUGGUCGGACACCGAGCCUCUGUAAAGCUCCUUCGACGAGUCGAGUAGUUUGGGAAUGCUGCUCAAAAUGGGAGGUAUAUGUCUUCUAAAGCUAAAUACCGGCCAGAGACCGAUAGCGCACAAGUAGAGUGAUCGAAAGAUGAAAAGCACUUUGAAAAGAGAGUUAAAUAGCACGUGAAAUUGUUGAAAGGGAAGCGUUUAUGACCAGACUUGGCCCGGUUGAUCAUCCAGCGUUCUCGCUGGUGCACUCUGCCGGUCCAGGCCAGCAUCAGUUCGUCGCGGGGGAUAAAGGUUUCGGGAAUGUGGCUCCUCCGGGAGUGUUAUAGCCCGUUGCGUAAUACCCUGCGGUGGACUGAGGUCCGCGCUUCUGCAAGGAUGCUGGCGUAAUGGUCAUCAACGAC
rnacentral:rRNA from 1 species